UUUUUUUUUUUUUCUGUUGGGCAUCAGUGGCAGUCCUGUAAUUUAUAGGAACUUCAACACUAAUUUUUUAUAUAGUAAAUGGAUUUUGGGUGUAUUUCUAAAGCGCAUUCCAUGUAGGGUUUUUUUAUAAUUUUAGCUCCCAUUUUGAGUAUAUUAGUGAAGCUCCCUUAAAUAUAUUCCAACGAAUAUGAAGCUUGCACUCGCAGAGGACGGAACUUUCUCUCCCAGUCACUGCUUCGUCCUCCGGGUUCGGCACCGAAAAAAGACCCAACCCGCCUAGCCGCCUAGCACCCGCCCAGCCACCGCCUAUCCGCCUAGCCGCCUAGCUACCGCCUAGCUACCGCCUAGGCCGACUUUUCAGUUCUCGCUUUUCAGCAUCCAAACGCAUUCUCUCUCUCCCCUUGUCGUCAAGGUUUUUCUGUGUUGAAAUGAGACUGAACAUAGUGGAACAAAAACAAAUUUCAUGUGAAAAAUGCGGUCCAAGUGUUUGGAAUUGCAGCAAGAUUUCUUUUUGAAAGCUUAAAUGUCGGGAAGCAAAGUGUUGCUAACGUAUAAGCGAAAGCGGCAAUCAAGAACAGAUCCUGUACAUGGUUGUGUUGCUCUUAUGUUUGUCUUAACACUUUGCCUAAAAGAAUUGGGAAUUUAUGAUAUCAGUCAGAAAGAUUAUAGUCUCCAAAUCAGUUUUAACAAAUGCCCUCCUUACCAGCUCUGAAACUGCAUGAGUUCUCAUAGAUGACAUUAAGCACCUCAAUGGUAGUUAAGAUUGUCAUAUGUGAUUUAUUUGUGUUUAUUACUAAUAUAUUUGUAUUAAUUAAGGUGCAUAUCUACUAUAUGUAACAGGGAAAUUAUAAUUUGUGGACCUCAAACUAGUAAUAUCAUAUGUCAUAUAUGAUAUAUUUACCGAGUCUUUAUUA